rnacentral:rRNA from 1 species
AACGAACGCUGGCGGCAGGCUUAACACAUGCAAGUCGAGCGCCCCGCAAGGGGAGCGGCCGACGGGUGAGUAACGCGUGGGAACAUACCUUUUGGUUCGGAACAACUCCGGGAAACUGGAGCUAAUACCGGAUAAGCCCUAACGGGGAAAGAUUUAUCGCCGAAAGAUCGGCCCGCGUCUGAUUAGCUAGUUGGUGAGGUAACGGCUCACCAAGGCGACGAUCAGUAGCUGGUCUGAGAGGAUGAUCAGCCACACUGGGACUGAGACACGGCCCAGACUCCUACGGGAGGCAGCAGUGGGGAAUAUUGGACAAUGGGCGCAAGCCUGAUCCAGCCAUGCCGCGUGAGUGAUGAAGGCCUUAGGGUUGUAAAGCUCUUUUGUCCGGGAAGAUAAUGACUGUACCGGAAGAAUAAGCCCCGGCUAACUUCGUG